rnacentral:rRNA from 1 species
GAUCAACGCUGGCGGCGUGCUUAACACAUGCAAGUCGAACGAAGUUUUUCCUUCGGGAGAAACUUAGUGGCGGACGGGUGAGUAACGCGUGGGUAACCUGCCCUGUACAGGGGGACAACAGCUGGAAACGGCUGCUAAUACCGCAUAAGCCCUUAGCACUGCAUGGUGCAUAGGGAAAAGGAGCAAUCCGGUACAGGAUGGACCCGCGUCUGAUUAGCCAGUUGGCAGGGUAACGGCCUACCAAAGCGACGAUCAGUAGCCGAUCUGAGAGGAUGUACGGCCACAUUGGGACUGAGACACGGCCCAGACUCCUACGGGAGGCAGCAGUGGGGAAUAUUGCACAAUGGAGGAAACUCUGAUGCAGCGACGCCGCGUGAGUGAAGAAGUAUUUCGGUAUGUAAAGCUCUAUCAGCAGGGAAGAAAAUGACGGUACCUGACUAAGAAGCACCGGCUAAAUACGU